AAUUGCAGUUUAAUUUUGUGUGCAAAUUUAUUUUUCGACUCGUGUCGAAAUAAAUUGUUAACUAUCCACUAAUUAUAAAUAAUUAGUAAUUAAAUCUUCAUAGUUAUCUGAACAUCUACAGUUUCCAGUAUUUUAGUUAAUCUGCUGUUAGGUUUUGUAAAUCGAUAAGAAGAUUUCACCAAUUCAAUCUACGACGAUGCCGGUCAUGCAAUAUUUUGGGUUUCGAAACGCCGAAUUUGGCCGCCCCCUCUGGGAAAUCGUGCUCAACCUCAAAAACUUUGGGCGUGGUCGCUACGUCGUGAAUCCUCUCAUCGCCGAGAAAUAUCCAAAGGAGCCCUGUUUUUACAAAAUCCUCAGCGUCCACCCCCACUUUCUAGAGUACCCGGAAAACUGUCAAGGGAAUAUAUUUGUCCAGCAAGUCCACCGCGGGGUGCCAAGAGAGGGACCCGUUGACAUUGGCGACAUUGCAGAAUCGCCAAGCUACCAGCUAAUCUUGAAAGAAGAUGAGGCUGCGUUUCUCAAAAAGUGGGAACAAUACAAGGCAAAUCCUUUGCCGGUUAAUGCCCUGCCAAGAACAGCCCCACUUCCGCCCUUGUGGAGGGAAAUUAUAUCUCGAGAGCGUGGCAUUCGUCCCGAAGACGUCCCCCCAAUUCCCAUGUUGCACGACCCUAUCGAACCUGGAGUUGGGGAUCCACGCAGGUUAGCGGCGGAGGGCGAGGAGCCCACAUUUCGCCUCGGACCUGGCAACUGGAAGGCAAAAUUCCCCGAACUUCUCCAACACGUCGUUUGGACGAGGGAGGCGGCUCGGGAAAAAUAUUGCACAAAAGUUCCCUCAUAUGAUUUCAUGUAUUUGAAGAGGAGGUUCGCUCCGAUCGAGAUUUCUGAGGGUUCGGCGUCAAACGAGGGAGCAAAAUCUAGUUAAAUAUUUUCUGAUUUCUUGAUUUUGUGUUUAUCAAAAAUCGAAGCAGGACAAAACUCAAAAAAUUUCACGUCUUACUUACACAAAAUCUGGAAAUGUAUCAAAAACAUCUUCCUCUCAUUCAUCAGCGCAGCAUUAAUGUUACUAUUUAACUGAACAACGACUUUCCUGUUCUCAUUGUUCAGUCAAUGUCACAAGGUCCAUUCCAUGCAAAAAAACUUUAUGAGAAAGCUUCCACAAUCAAUGAAUGAAUGACUAUUUACACAAUCAAUCAAUAAGCAAC